AAUGAACGCUGGCGGCGUGCCUAACACAUGCAAGUCGAGCGCGAACGAGGACUUCGGUCCUCUAGUAGAGCGGCGAACGGGUGAGUAACACGUGGAUAACCUGCCUGGAAGUGGGGAACAACUCAGGGAAACUUGAGCUAAUACCGCAUACGUUGACUCUGCGAAAGCAGGAUUAACAAAGGUGGCCUCUUCUUGAAAGCUAUCGCUUCCAGAGGGAUCCGCGUCUGAUUAGCUAGUUGGUGAGGUAACGGCUCACCAAGGCUACGAUCAGUAGCCGGCCUGAGAGGGUGAUCGGCCACACUGGAACUGAGACACGGUCCAG
rnacentral:rRNA from 1 species